AAUAUUGGUCAAUGGAGGCAACUCUGAACCAGCCAUGCCGCGUGCAGGAUGACGGACCUAUGGUUUGUAAACUGCUUUUGUACGGGAAAAAACCUCUUUACGUGUAAAGAGCUGAUGGUACCGUAAGAAUAAGGAUCGGCUAACUCCGUGCCAGCAGCCGCGGUAAUACGGAGGAUCCAAGCGUUAUCCGGAUUCAUUGGGUUUAAAGGGUGCGUAGGCGGAAUAGUAAGUCAGUGGUGAAAGCCCGUAGCUUAACUGCGGAACUGCCAUUGAUACUGCUAAUCUUGAGUACAUUUGAUGUGGGCGGAAUGUGUCGUGUAGCGGUGAAAUGCUUAGAUAUGACACAGAACACCGAUUGCGAAGGCAGCUCACAAAACUGUUACUGACGCUGAGGCACGAAAGCGUGGGGAUCGAACAGG
rnacentral:rRNA from 1 species